CAUAGAAGUUAGUUAUAUCAAAAUUUACCCAUUAUACAUUUUACUCAGAUAAGAAUCAGUGGCCUUGAUAUGGUUUAGAGCCAGUCAACAUCUUGGUCACUCCCAAAUUGAGCUGGCGGUUGCCUUGUAGCAGAGCCAUCAUAAAAAAAGAAGAAGAAGAAGAA